UGCUCUAAUCAACUGAGUAGCCCAGCCAGGGCCCAAAUCAGAGAUUUUUAAAUAAAAAUUAUCUAUCUCCUUAUGAUAGUUAUAACAAAACAUCCAGAAGGUCUUUUCUGAGCCCUCUUCUUCAUACAUAUCAGUUACAUAUAGUUUUAUAUAAAAUAUUGGUCUACAGGAUGUUUUCAAGUAUAUAUACUCUUUAUUGCAUUCCUUCAUUUGCAUUAAACAAUAUAAUAUUUAUAUUUUUCAAUAUAGUUUUGGACAAAACACAAAGACAUGAACCUCACUGAAUAAGAGACAUAAUUUAUAGUACAAUGCAUGUUGUCUUCGUGGGAAGAGAAAAGAGGCAAGAAAGAUCUAAAGGGAAUCCAGGGUACUGGCUACCAGGAAUCACAGAAUUUCACAAUACAGUCCACUUUUUGAAAAGCCACAAAGCAGCUAGGAAUGAAAAGCUGAAACAAAGUAGACAUGACAUACAAGUCUACCAAAAAUAUGCAGAUAGUAAGAUCUGGAGAUAAUCUGCCUUGUGCCAUGGGGACAGCUGGCCGAGCUACACCCAAGCGCCAUUGUGGCAGUGAGCUUCAUGGGCAGCUGCAGAUGGCUUCUGAUUGCUUUCCUCACAUUUUAAGCAGCAAUGGGGAGAGUAGCAUGCUCCACAGGUCUCAUCACCAAACAUGAUGUCCUAUUUAAAUUCCUUCUAACUCAGUUAUAAGACAAAGCCUUUGGAAGAAACGAGAAGAAGGUAGAGGAAAUGCAUUAAGUGUAUUGGAAUGGACGUUAAAGGACUGAGGGGAGACACCUGUAAAGUGAUAUAUAUUUUUUUCUUCUGGAAAACAGUUUUCUAUUUAGAUGCUAGACAGUACAGACAAUUAAAAUAAAGGAAGGAUACAUUCUAAGUUAGUCAUUAAGCUAAGGGAAAAAGAGAAGUGGUGAUGCUAAUAAGCCUUUAGUAUUAUACUAAGGAACUGAGUCAUUUAGAGUUGGACCCUAAUCAAUGCAGAGAGGAUUGUAAAUCACAUCUUUCACAAGUUUUUAAUAACACCUACCAGAUGGUAAUGAUGGCCAUAUCUCUUACCACAGAGGAAAUCAGUACCAUUCAGGGGAUGUCAUAGCAAACACAGAAAUACUGACUUUCUAUUAAGAAAGGUCUCCUGAUUGCAGCUUGGAAACAUCUCUGAAAAUGAUUGAGAACAGCAACAGCGUCUUAGAAAUCCAAAGCCUGCCCCAUUUCUUCAGGCAAGGUAACGACCAGCGUUCUGGGAGAACGUCAACCUGUUCUGGGAGAACAGGGAAGGCGUAUGACAGGCCCUGUAAGCCCUCCCUGCUCCGGGUUUACCUGUAGAAAGUCUUCCUAGUGAUAGGCCGAGCGUUGUCCUGCAACAUCAUUACAUUUAUUGGGAGUUUUUGGGUGGAAGGGAGAGUAUGGAGCUUAAAAUGAGUAGUGUUCACAAGUACAGUGUAUCUCCCACACUUAAAGACUGAGGAAGAAGGAAUCACUUUAGCUUGCAGGGAAGAGUAAGCACAGCAUUCUAAAGCAAGUCUGUACCUUCCACAAAGGAGUGGACUAUCUGGAUAAGCACAAGAAGGGGACUUUUAUUGCACUGAUCAUGCAGAGUGAGCACGUGUUGAAGGCAGGGAACAAUUCACUUCAUUUAGGGUCUUGAGUAAAUCCAGUGACGAUCCCAGGCCAUCUUUAGCUUGGUCACUAUGUGUUUGCAAAUAGUCCAUUUUCAAAGUCAAGGGAGCGACUGAAAAAGAAAUAUCCCAAACACAAGAAACAGAUGAGGGUCUGCAAAAAGGUCAUCGCAAAAUCAUUAAGAGCUUCUUAAAGGCUUUGGUAAACUUUUCACUAUGCACGUGCUAUGAGAUGAGCAUGUCACAAAGGGAAGUGGUCACAGCUCCAUGCACUUAUAAGCAGGUCCCAACAAAUAUGUAUCAUUGAGCUUUUCCUGCAUUGUGACAAGGAGGUGUGCAAAGCAGCACAGGGAAAGCAAACCAACAGUACAACAACCAAUUUCCUUGCUUGGUCUCUUAGACCUACAACACAGUGAAGAAUUCUAUAAAUGGAAACAGUUGUCCAAGAAAGGUUGAGAUUUGGAAUUUACAUAGUAUGCACUGGUGAGCAAGCAACUUGUAGAACAGGCACUGGGAUUUAAAAGAGUGGUAAGUCUGGUUGACAGUCUUAA